AGAGUUUGAUCCUGGCUCAGGAUGAACGCUGGCGGCGUGCCUAACACAUGCAAGUCGAGCGUGAACCCUUAGAAUGAAACUUCGGUCGAAUGAAGAGGGGGAAAGCGGCGGACGGGUGAGUAACGCGUAGGCAACCUGCCCCGUACAGAGGGAUAGCCUCGGGAAACCGGGAUUAAAACCUCAUAAUACCAUGGUAUCACAUGAUGCAAUGGUCAAAGAUUUAUCGGUAUGGGAUGGGCCUGCGUCUGAUUAGCUGGUUGGUGGGGUAACGGCCUACCAAGGCAACGAUCAGUAGCCGACCUGAGAGGGUAAUCGGCCACAUUGGAACUGAGACACGGUCCAAACUCCUACGGGAGGCAGCAGUGGGGAAUAUUGCACAAUGGGCGAAAGCCUGAUGCAGCAACGCCGCGUGAGCGAAGAAGGCCUUUGGGUCGUAAAGCUCUGUCGGGAAGGAAGAUAAUGACGGUACUUCCCGAGGAAGCCCCGGCUAACUACGUGCCAGCAGCCGCGGUAAUACGUAGGGGGCGAGCGUUAUCCGGAAUUAUUGGGCGUAAAGAGUGCGUAGGUGGUUGUUUAAGCGUGGGGUGAAAGGCAAUGGCUUAACCAUUGUGAGCCUCGCGAACUGGGCGACUUGAGUGCAGGAGAGGAAAGCGGAAUUCCUAGUGUAGCGGUGAAAUGCGUAGAUAUUAGGAGGAACACCAGUGGCGAAGGCGGCUUUCUGGACUGUAACUGACACUGAGGCACGAAAGCGUGGGGAGCAAACAGGAUUAGAUACCCUGGUAGUCCACGCCGUAAACGAUGAGCACUAGGUGUCGGGGCCGCAAGGCUUCGGUGCCGCAGUUAACGCAUUAAGUGCUCCGCCUGGGGAGUACGCACGCAAGUGUGAAACUUAAAUGAAUUGACGG
rnacentral:rRNA from 1 species